UACGAAGGGGGCUAGCGUUGUUCGGAAUUACUGGGCGUAAAGCGUGCGCAGGCGGUUUUGUAAGUCUGUCGUGAAAUCCCCGGGCUCAACCUGGGAAUGGCGAUGGAGACUGCAAGGCUAGAAUCUGGCAGAGGGGGGUAGAAUUCCACGUGUAGCAGUGAAAUGCGUAGAGAUGUGGAGGAACACCGAUGGCGAAGGCAGCCCCCUGGGUCAAGAUUGACGCUCAUGCACGAAAGCGUGGGGAGCAAACAGG
rnacentral:rRNA from 1 species